UCUCUCUCUCUCUCUCUCCCUUCUGCCUCCAUCUACCGUCUUUCUCCCUCUCUCUCCCAAUCUUAGGUUGCUUCUUGGCAAUCCCCUUCAGUCCUUCCUCAAGAGCGCCAACUCAAACUUCGUCCUCACCUUCUUUGUCUCCCUGCAUCCCAAUUUAACACAUACCUUCCAAUUUAAGAUUCCCAAAAAAAUCAUAAAAAAAAUGCCCCCUUGCAUUCCACUAACCAGAAUGCAUAUAAAAGUGAAAGACAACCGUCCCCAAAACCAAAACCCAAGACAACAGUUUCAAUUGCAUCAGUAGCAACCACCAGACCAGUAGCUUCUACCAUCAUGAAGCCAGCGUAACUUGCCAUCAGCUCUGAAGACUCAGAGCAUUCAUCAUGAAUGACUCAUGCAUUGCCAUUUUAGAGGACAUGAAAGCACUCAGCGUACUUGAUGCUUGAUCUCAG
rnacentral:misc_RNA from 1 species